rnacentral:lncRNA from 1 species
AUAUGGCUAAUCAUCACAGUGCACUUCUUUUCAUCUUUGCUGUUAUUUCAUCUGGUAAUUUCUUCACUUUUAUAAUCUCUAUCUUUGGUCAACCUGUGUGAAGCAAAUAAAGCAUACUUGUUAACUAUUAAUCUUCCUAUUUAGGUUCAUAUAUAACUAAAAAAAUUUAAACUUUAAUUUGAUAAUUCCUUGUUUCAUUUAAUAUUGGUUUGAAAACGACUUCACAACAUUCGAAUGUCAAUAAAUCAGGAGAAAAACGCAGUAGCUACAAUAGGUGGUAGUGGUCCAAUCUGCAUAACAGAGUUUUGACCCGAAUAUAAAAACUUUGCCAUUAUUGGGUGUGCAACUCAGACUGUUGAUUUGUUUAUGCUUAGAGAAAAAUGUUUAUUUGUUAAAGCAACAAGGAGGCUUUCCAAGAAGGGUUAUUUUUUACAAUCUUAGAAAUUUGAUCUGUUGGGUGGCAGCACCUGAAACCUGUGGAAGCAGUAAGACUUUAACUAUAGUAAAUUACUGCAAGGAGACAAUAUGGCCUGCGAUGACAGGAAGUGAUAACUUCAGUGGAGAUGCAUUAAAUCCUG